UCUCCGGUGGCCUAAUGAUUUGAGCGUCCGCCUCGGAUGCAAAAGGUCAUGGGUUCGAACUCCAGCCGAAUACGAA